AUGAGCGAGCGACAAUACUGUACAGCUCUACGACUGCUCUGGUCAUCACUAUUUCCUGUAAUUUUCAGGUUUGACGAGAAUGACAAUAACACCUACCGUCUAGUUGGUGUUGCUCAACACAUUGGAGUUCGGGAAGCAGGUCAUUAUAUUGUGUAUGUAAGAGCUAGCAAGAUGAAUGAUCAGGAACAUCAAACCAAUGACAAGUCAUGGUUUUAUGCAAGCGAUGAGAUUAUCAGAGAAGCCAGCUUGCAGGAAGUUCUUGAGUGCGAGGCCUACAUUCUUUUUUAUGAAAGGGUGGGGAACUAA
rnacentral:rRNA from 1 species